UUAAAAACAGUUUUUGAAAACAUUAACUUUGGGAGUUAAUAGAUAGUGUUACUAUUUUUAAA
rnacentral:tRNA from 1 species